GACGAACGCUGGCGGCGUGCUUAACACAUGCAAGUCGAACGGAAAGGCCCUGCUUUUGUGGGGUGCUCGAGUGGCGAACGGGUGAGUAACACGUGAGUAACCUGCCCUUGACUUUGGGAUAACUUCAGGAAACUGGGGCUAAUACCGGAUAGGAGCUCCUGCUGCAUGGGGGGGGUUGGAAAGUUUCGGCGGUUGGGGAUGGACUCGCGGCUUAUCAGCUUGUUGGUGGGGUAGUGGCUUACCAAGGCUUUGACGGGUAGCCGGCCUGAGAGGGUGACCGGCCACAUUGGGACUGAGAUACGGCGCAGACUCCUACGGGAGGCAGCAGUGGGGAAUAUUGCACAAUGGGCGGACGCCUGAUGCAGCAACGCCGCGUGCGGGAUGACGGCCUUCGGGUUGUAAACCGCUUUCGCCUGUGACGAAGCGUGAGUGACGGUAAUGGGUAAAGAAGCACCGGCUAACUACGUG
rnacentral:rRNA from 1 species